rnacentral:rRNA from 1 species
AUCCGGAUCGAGGACAGUGUAUGGUGGGCAGUUUGACUGGGGCGGUCUCCUCCUAAAGAGUAACGGAGGAGUACGAAGGUGCGCUCAGACCGGUCGGAAAUCGGUCGCAGAGUAUAAAGGCAAAAGCGCGCUUGACUGCGAGACAGACACGUCGAGCAGGUACGAAAGUAGGUCUUAGUGAUCCGGUGGUUCUGUAUGGAAGGGCCAUCGCUCAACGGAUAAAAGGUACUCCGGGGAUAACAGGCUGAUACCGCCCAAGAGUUCAUAUCGACGGCGGUGUUUGGCACCUCGAUGUCGGCUCAUCACAUCCUGGGGCUGAAGCCGGUCCCAAGGGUAUGGCUGUUCGCCAUUUAAAGUGGUACGCGAGCUGGGUUUAGAACGUCGUGAGACAGUUCGGUCCCUAUCUGCCGUGGACGUUUGAGAUUUGAGAGGGGCUGCUCCUAGUACGAGAGGACCGGAGUGGACGAACCUCUGGUGUUCCGGUUGUCACGCCAGUGGCAUUGCCGGGUAGCUAUGUUCGGAAAAGAUAACCGCUGAAAGCAUCUAAGCGGGAAACUUGCCUCAAGAUGAGAUCUCACUGGGAACUUGAUUCCCCUGAAGGGCCGUCGAAGACUACGACGUUGAUAGGCUGGGUGUGUAAGCGUUGUGAGGCGUUGAGCUAACCAGUACUAAUUGCCCGUGAGGCUUGACCA